GGAGGAAAAGAAACCAACCGGGAUUGCCUUAGUAACGGCGAGUGAAGCGGCAAAAGCUCAAAUUUGAAAUCUGGCACCUUCGGUGUCCGAGUUGUAAUUUGAAGAAGUAACUUUGGGGCUGGUCCUUGUCUAUGUUCCUUGGAACAGGACGUCAUAGAGGGUGAGAAUCCCGUGUGGCGAGGAUCCCAGUUCUUUGUAAAGUGCUUUCGACGAGUCGAGUUGUUUGGGAAUGCAGCUCUAAGUGGGUGGUAAAUUCCAUCUAAAGCUAAAUAUUGGCGAGAGACCGAUAGCGAACAAGUACAGUGAUGGAAAGAUGAAAAGAACUUUGAAAAGAGAGUGAAAAAGUACGUGAAAUUGUUGAAAGGGAAGGGCAUUUGAUCAGACAUGGUGUUUUGCGACCCUCGCUCCUUGUGGGUGGGGAUCUCGCAGCUCACUGGGCCAACAUCGGUUUUGGCGGCAGGAUAAAACUUUGGGAAUGUAACUUGUCUUCGGAGAAGUAUUAUAGCCCAAGGCAAUACUGCCAGCCGGGACCGAGGACUGCGACUUUUGUCAAGGAUGUUGGCAUAAUGGUUAUAUGCCGCCCGUC
rnacentral:rRNA from 1 species